rnacentral:rRNA from 1 species
UACGAAGGGUGCAAGCGUUACUCGGAAUUACUGGGCGUAAAGCGUGCGUAGGUGGUUUGUUAAGUCUGAUGUGAAAGCCCUGGGCUCAACCUGGGAAUUGCAUUGGAUACUGGCAGGCUCGAGUGCGGUAGAGGGUAGUGGAAUUCCCGGUGUAGCAGUGAAAUGCGUAGAGAUCGGGAGGAACAUCUGUGGCGAAGGCGACUGUCUGGGCCAACACUGACACUGAGGCACGAAAGCGUGGGGAGCAAACAGG